UACGAAGGGGGCUAGCGUUGCUCGGAAUCACUGGGCGUAAAGGGUGCGUAGGCGGGUCUUUAAGUCAGAGGUGAAAUCCUGGAGCUCAACUCCAGAACUGCCUUUGAUACUGGAGGAUCUUGAGUUCGGGAGAGGUGAGUGGAACUGCGAGUGUAGAGGUGAAAUUCGUAGAUAUUCGCAAGAACACCAGUGGCGAAGGCGGCUCACUGGCCCGAUACUGACGCUGAGGCACGAAAGCGUGGGGAGCAACAGGG
rnacentral:rRNA from 1 species